AUUGAACGCUGGCGGCAGGCCUAACACAAGCAAGUCGAGCGGUAGCACAGAGAGCUUGCUCUCGGGUGACGAGCGGCGGACGGGUGAGUAAUGUCUGGGAAACUGCCUGAUGGAGGGAGAUAACUACUGGAAACGGUAGCUAAUACUGCAUAAGGUCGCAAGACCAAAGAGGGGGACCUUCGGGCCUCUUGACAUCAGAUGUGCCAAGAUGGGAUUAGCUAGUAGGUGGGGUAAUGGCUCACCUAGGCGACGAUCCCUAGCUGGUCUGAGAGGAUGACCAGCCACACUGGAACUGAGACACGGUCCAGACUCCUACGGGAGGCAGCAGUGGGGAAUAUUGCACAAUGGGCGCAAGCCUGAUGCAGCCAUGCCGCGUGUGUGAAGAAGGCCUUCGGGUUGUAAAGCACUUUCAGCGAGGAGGAAGGCAUUAAGGUUAAUAACCUUAGUGAUUGACGUUACUCGCAGAAGAAGCACCGGCUAACUCCGUGCCAGCCGCCGCCGUAA
rnacentral:rRNA from 1 species